GUUAUUCAAAAAUUCUAAGUGGCACCUACCUAAUUGUCUGUACCUGAGAUACAUACAGGGCAGUUCAAUUUCACAAGAGUGUGAAGAAGUAAGUGGAACUCAGAAGCUGCCCUGGUUGCUAUUUCUGGACACUUCUAUGUCUCUCAAUGGUGCUAUACACAUUAUAGACAGCUGCAAUAAAUUUAAUUACAUUCAAUGGGACUGGCUCAGGGAGACGUGUAUGUAGGAUUUUUAGCUUCUGUGGGUCAAGUUCCACCUCCCUUCCUACCCAGUUUAAUAGUCUCAGAUUGUUUGGCAUUACUCAGCCCAAUGCCUGUGAACCAUUGCAGGGAGCUAACAUAAAUGCAGUUGUUACCAGAAAGAUUUAAUAAUGCAAGAUUCCUAACCAAGCAGCAGCUGGCAUUUUGUUUAAUGCUGCUGCUUUGUUCUCAUAUUUUUCACUUUCUGAGGGCCUGACCACAUCCUCUGCUUGAUAUUUUAUGAGCUUUGUAAGCCUGGGGUCAAAGCCAAACAUUCCAAGAGAUGCUGGAGUUUGAACACAAAGAGUUUGGCCCUGCUGCUCUGCUUUAAGAGGAGCGUGUGUGGCGGGCAGUGAGAGAAUGCCUGGAGACGAGAGAAGCUCUUCUGCUGAGAGAGGAAGAGGCUUGAGACCAUCAUGACACAAACUCUGGCUGCACAAGAAUGGCAUAGGCAGUACUGAAAAGAGGAACUCAUUGUAUGGAACUGGAUCAGGGACACUCCUGAGAUAAGCUGCAUUAAGGAUAUUCUUAAGAUCAGAUAAACCAAACUCAACCCUUCUUUAAGCAGUGCCGUACAUUCCUCACAAUGAAGCAUUUGUGACAUCAUUGGCUGUUGCCAUGGAAGUUAACAUGAUACCACAGAUCCAGCACACACUGAGUCCUCUGCAGGAUCAAACAGAAAUAAGACUGUAAAGACCCUGCAGAGCCAAAUACCUCCUCUGCCCUAUUGCUACCAAACAAGCAAGUCAUUAGUGAAAAUAUCUGACUCUUUCCAGAGUGACCCACAGAGAAGGAGCUGUGAUGCAGAUGUAAUGUCACCACUGAAGAAGUACUUUGUGGAUGUAAUCUGUCAUUCAUGAAGAGGAAAAGGGCGCGCAAAGUUCUAGAAUUCUAACGGGCGUGACACCAGGGAGAAGAGACCGAGGUGUACAGAUGG